rnacentral:tRNA from 5 species
GGUCCGGUGGCCGAGUGGUCAGGCAAGGGUCUGCAAAACCCUCUACAGCGGUUCGAUUCCGCUCCGGACCU